CUCUCUUUUCCUUCUUCUUCUCCAGCUGCGCAACCUCCUCCUCCCUCCCUUCCCGUUUCUGGCCACCGCCAGAUGAGAGCGAGGUUGAUAACGACUCGCCUCGUGCUGCUGGUGAAGUUUCCAGCCCUCUCUCACGCAGAUGGAGCCCCAGCGACGCAGAUCGGAGCCGUCCCCUUCGACAGCUCUACUCUUCAAUCUUAAGCGAGUCCUCGCCGUUUUUGACCACUGUGCUCACUGAGAGCGGGCGCGAAUGAUUCGUUGUUGCCCUGUGAAGUGUUUCUCCUCAGUUAAAUUGAGUUUCGGGUGGAUAACAGCGAAACCACCAUGGUCGGCAGUCCCCUUAGCAACUUUUGGGACCAUUUCUGGCUUUUAGGGUAAUCGUUUUGAUUAUUAAACAUGAAAUCGGUGAUCUCCCCAUGAAAUGGAGCAAAUUGAUGUAAAGAGUUGGUGUUUCUGGGCUGUUUGGAUUUCUCCGGCCACCGUGCACGGCAGUCGGCGGCAGCGGCCCGGUGACCGGCCGGCGACACUCCGGCGAGGCCCCGAGAGACAGA
rnacentral:lncRNA from 1 species